AUUAAAGUGAAAGAAAAUGUUUGCUGGAAAUAUGGGCUAUCUGCUAGCUGUAACUAAUGCGAUUACUUUAAAUCGCUUUUCGACGUUCAACCCUUUAAUAAGGUAUUUUUCUUCUCAAAUAAUUAAGCCCAAUAAAUGGUGGAGACCCGGUACUGAAGAUUCUGCCAUCAAUGAGAUUAGACCAUAUAAUAUUAGUUUUUCUGAAGAGCUCGUGAAAGAUCUAAAAUAUAAAGUAAGAAAUAGUGAAAUUUUUGUGAAACCAAAAUUGGAAAAAGAUCGUAAAAAAGAGAUGAACAUGUACACUUUGUGCACCCUUUUACGUCAGUGGGGAUAUAAUUAUAAUUUUCAGGAACGCGAGAAAUAUAUAAAUAGUAAUCCACAUUUUAUAACUAAUGUCCAAGGAUUAGACAUUCACUUUAUUCAUAUAAAGCCACAUGUGAAGAAAUGUAAUGUCAAAAAGAGAUAUAUGCCAUUGCCAUUGCUACUUUUACACGGAUGGCCAAGUUCAGUAAUAGAAUUUAUAAAGAUAUAUCAUUAGAAAAGUCGCGUGAAAUAAUAAUACCUUCCUUGCCUGGAUUUGGUUUCUCUAGCGCACCAACAAUAUCUGGUUUUUCAUGUAUUGACAUGAGUGUGGUUUUAAAAAAUCUUAUGUUGAAACUUGGUCAUGAUAAAUUUUACGUUAUAGAUGACCGUCACGAUGCUAUUAACAGCUAUAUUAUGUCGAUGUUAUUUCCGCAACACGCGUAUAAAGAUUAUAGCAUAUUUGGAUAUAACAACGCAUAUCGAGAAAGAGAUUACUUUUUUUCGGAAUUUACUAAAAAAAUAGUACCAGUUGAAAAACUCUU